ACACGGUAGCGGAAAGACUAUCCCUUCAUUGAAAUAUUCCACAGCCCAGAACAAGCUGUGAACCAAGGAAGGGUUGUGGAUCCUAAUAUAACAAGGUACUCGGUCAAGGUCUUGCCUUUCAAUUUUGAUGUUUAUGCAUAUGGGUUCAGGGAGUUCUUCAAGCGACAUGGGAUACACUCGUCAACUCCAAACAACUAAGGAAUGAGUUCCCUCACAACUGUUUGGUCGAAGAAUUCUUUUCAAA